CAGGAGAGAGAGUGAGGAGACAGGAGUGAAGGGGGAGAGACAGACAGACAGAGGAGAGAGGAGAGAGAGUGAGUAGAGAGUGAGAGGAGACACACAGAGAUUAAGAGAGGAGAGAGAGAGAGAGAGGUGGCAGGAGAGAGAGUGAGGUGACAGGAGUGAAGGGGGAGAGAUAGACAGACAGGAGAGAGGAGAGAGGAGAGAGAGUGAGAGAGAGAUUAAGAGAGGAGCGAGAGUGAGAGGUGACAGGAGUAAGGGGGAGAGAGACAGACAGAGGAGAGAGGAGAGAGAGUGAGAGGAGACACAGAGAGAGAAGAGAGAGAGGCAGACAGAGACAGAGAGAGAUUAAGAGAGAAGAGAGUGAGGGGAGACGAGGGAAAGGGAGGGACAGAGAG
rnacentral:lncRNA from 1 species